AGAAUCAACGCUGGCGGCGUGCCUAACACAUGCAAGUCGAACGAGAAAGUGGAGCAAUCCAUGAGUAAAGUGGCGCACGGAUGAGUAACACGUGACUAACCUACCUUUUAGUGGGGGAUAACCUAGGGAAACCUGGGCUAAUACCGCAUAAUACCUACGGGUCAAAGCAGCAAUGCGCUGGAAGAGGGGGUCGCGGUCGAUUAGUUAGUUGGCAGGGUAAUGGCCUGCCAAGACUGUGAUCGAUA
rnacentral:rRNA from 1 species